GCCGUCUCCGAAGUCGAUGUCGUUUGCGCCUAUUCUUCUCCGGCUGGAGCCGAGUCGCUGGUGACCAUUGGACCUCCAUAUCCGACUGGAAAGUGACCUAGAGACGAACUGGAAGCCGACGACAAUCAUGAAGACGACGGGAGCUGCGGUUGAGAUUAGGCGCUUGAGACUCGAUCUGUACCUAUAGCUUCUUCUUCCUCAUCGCAGAUUUUGUUCUCAUUUCCCGCUCCCAAAACCCUAACCCAAACAGACAAUGGGCCAGAAGAAAGGACCCCCUGCUGACGACACUCUUCUAGCCUAAGAAACACCGCGGCGUCGGCUUCUCCAGUGUCGAAGCUGGAGUGGAUGCCAAAGAUUGCAUCAAGAUCAAGGAUUCGAGAACGCGUGCUGCAACCCACGGUGUCCUCCUCUCUACUGCUAGCAUAUCUGCCUGAUAAAAAACGGGAAUAUGUGAUUGAUGAUGAUGCUCUAAGUCAUGCUUCCGAGCUUUCAGUGGAAGGAAGAGAUGAUAUCACUAAUCUUGAUGAGUUGGUCAAGGAUUACAAAAGAAACAGAAGACGUGGAAUGCUCGGAUGGUUUAAAC